rnacentral:rRNA from 1 species
GAGCUUGCUCUCUGGGUGACGAGCGGCGGACGGGUGAGUAAUGUCUGGGAAACUGCCUGAUGGCGGGGGAUAACUAGUGGAAACGGUAGCUAAUACCGCAUAACGUCGCAAGACCAAAGUGGGGGACCUUCGGGCCUCACGCCAUCAGAUGUGCCCAGGUGGGAUUAGCUGGUAGGUGGGGUAACGGCUCACCUAGGCGACGAUCCCUAGCUGGUCUGAGAGGAUGACCAGCCACACUGGAACUGAGACACGGUCCAGACUCCUACGGGAGGCAGCAGUGGGGAAUAUUGCACAAUG